AUGGGGACGUACCUCAGCACGCCCAAGACGGAGAAGCAGACCGCCGACGGCGACGGCGCCCGCGUCCGCUACGGCCUCGCCUCCAUGCAGGGAUGGCGGACCACCAUGGAGGACGCCCAUACUGCUGUGCCACAGCUUGAUGAACGCACAUCCUUUUUUGCCGUUUUCGAUGGGCAUGGAGGGAAAGCGGUCGCUAAAUUCUGCGCCAAACAUCUACACAUGCAAUUCUUAAGAAGUGCAGCAUAUUGUUCUGGUGAUUUAGCUUCUUCUGCUCGGAAAGCCUUUUUGAGAAUGGAUGAGAUGAUGAAAGGGCAAAGGGGAUGGAGAGAACUGGCUGAGCUGGGAGAAAAGGGGCCAAAGUUCGCUGGAAUGUUGGAGAGUAUAAUUUGGUCUCCCAAAGGUGGAGAUGCAGAUAAACUUGGGGACGGAUGGCACUCGGAGGAGGGUCCUCAUUCAGAUUAUUCUGGGCCAACAUGUGGAAGCACAGCGUGUGUGGCUAUCAUAAGAAAUGAUCAACUGGUUGUUGCAAAUGCCGGGGAUUCCCGGUGUGUUAUCUCAAGGAAGGGUCAGGCUCACGAUUUGUCAAGAGAUCACAAGCCAGAACUUCAGUCAGAAAAAGAGAGGAUUGAGAAUGCUGGUGGUUACAUUGUUGCUGGGCGGGUCAAUGGAAGUUUGAACUUGACAAGAGCAAUUGGGGAUAUGGAAAUGAAGGAAAAUAAGCUUUUACCAGCCGAGAAACAGACUGUCUCAGCUGAACCUGAAGUGAACACAGUUACACUUUCUGAGGAUGAUGAAUUCAUUGUUUUGGCCUGUGAUGGUAUAUGGGACUGCAUGUCAAGUCAACAAGUAGUGGACUUUGUGCACGAGAAGUUGAAGACUGAGGAUAGUCUAUCUGCCGUGUGUGAGAAGCUGCUCGACCGGUGCUUGGCGCCUGAGAGUGGUGGGGAGGGUUGUGACAACAUGACGAUGAUCUUGGUUGUGCUCAAGAAGCCUACCGACCCGGCCGCUACUUCUAGCUCGGAGCAAUCUCCGGUCACGCCUACCAAGCCGUCUGCUACUUCUAGCUCGGAGCAAUCUGCAGUCACCAACGAAGAGAUGCGGCCCAGCGAGCCUGAUGCCCCAGAGACCCCUUCGUCGAAGUAG
rnacentral:rRNA from 1 species